rnacentral:rRNA from 1 species
UACGGAGGGGGCAAGCGUUAAUCGGAAUCACUGGGCGUAAAGCGCACGUAGGCGGCGGCGUAAGUCAGAUGUGAAAGCCCCGGGCUCAACCUGGGAACUGCAUUUGAUACUGUGCGGCUUGAGUCUGAUAGAGGGGGGUGGAAUUCCAGGUGUAGCGGUGAAAUGCGUAGAGAUCUGGAGGAACACCAGUGGCGAAGGCGGCCCCCUGGAUCAAGUCUGACGCUGAGGUGCGAAAGAGUGGGGAGCAAACAGG